UAUUAUAAUUAUUAUUUUUAUUGAUCGUUUUGUUAAGUUUUAUUUGAAUUAAUUUUUUGUUUUUGUAUAUUUUUUAGAUUUAAUUUAUUUAAUUAUAAUUUAUUUUUACUGUGUGGGAUAUUUUUAUUAAUUUAUGGAAGUGGAAAUUAUUUUUGUACCUUGUGUAUCAGGGUUUAUUAAAUUAUAUUAUUAAUAUUUUAUAUCCCGAUUUUAAAGGAUUUAAUUAAUUAUUUUAGUUAUUGUUUUAUAAUUAUUAAUAAUAAUUAUUUGGUAGUGAUAUAUUAUUCGAUUUUAAUGGUAUCUGGUUUUUCAAGAAAUGAAUUUAAUUCAUAUAUUUAAUAUUAUAUAUCUAUUUUAUUAGGUUUUAUUUUAUUAAUAUAAAUAUUAUGGGGGAUAAGCUCUUUAAUAUAUUUUUAUAAUUUUUUAUAACUUUAGUUUUUGUUGGUUUUAUAAUAAUUAUCAAUUUAAGUUUGUUAAAAUUUUAUUUUUAUUAUUUUUUGUAUUUAUUAUUAUUUAAUUAUUUUAUUGAAAUUUUUUAUUUAAUUAUUAUUUUUUUGUAAUUAUGAUUGAAUUAGUAAUUAAUAAAUAUUGUUUUAUUAUAUUUGUAUAUAAUUAUUUUAAAAGGAACUAGGCAAAAAUUAAUUUGUUCUCGCAUGUUUAUCAAAAACAUCUUUUCUUGUUUAUAUAUGAAGUAUGACCUGCCCACUGAUUAAUUUUAAAGGGCCGCGGUAUUUUGACCGUGCAAAGGUAGCAUAAUAAUUAGUCCUUUAAUUGUGGACUUGAAUGAAUGGUUGGACGAGGAACUAACUGUUUCUUAUUAUUUUUAUUGAAUUUAAUUUUUAAGUUAUAAUGCUUAAAUGUAUUUAUGGGACGAGAAGACCCUAUAGAGUUUAUAUAUAUUAAAAAUUUGUUUUGUUUGGUUUAUAUUUAUUGAAUAUUUAAUAUAUUUUAUUGGGGUGAUAGGGAGAAUUAAUUAACUCUUUUUUGUAUAUAUACAUAUAUUUAUGACUAUUUGAUUCAUUUUUUUUUGAUUAUAAGAUUAAAUUACCUUAGGGAUAACAGCGUAAUCUUUUUUGAGAGUUCUUAUCGAUAAAAGGGUUUGCGACCUCGAUGUUGGAUUAAGAUUUAAUUUGGGUGUAGAAUUUCAUUUUGUUUAGGUCUGUUCGACCUUUAAAAUCUUACAUGAUCUGAGUUCAGACCGGUGAGAGCCAGGUUGGUUUCUAUCUAUAAUUAAUUUUAUAUCUUAGUACGAGAGGACCAGAUAUUUAAAAUAAUUUUUUUUCUUUAAUGAUUUUUAUUAAUUUUG
rnacentral:rRNA from 1 species